GGGGCUUCACCGCCUACCAAAUCCUGACAAACUCCGAAUGCCAGUAGUAUGAUUUACAGCAGUGAGUGACUGGGUGCUAAUGUCCAGUCGCAAAAGAGGAACAACUCAGACCAGCAACUAAGGUCCCGAAGAAUAUGCUAAGUUGAUCUAACGAUGUUUUGUUGCAGAGACAGCUAGGAUGUUAGCUUGGAAGCAGCUAUUCAUUCAAAGAGUGCGUAACAGCUCACUAGUCGAGCGACAGAGCGUGGAUAAUAAACGGGCAUCAAGCAUAUCACCGAAGUUCUGGGCGCGAGAGCGCGGUAGGGGAGCAUUCCAUUCAGCGUCGAAGCAGUUUCGUGAGGAAUUGUGGAGCGUAUGGAAAAGCAAAUGUAGGCAUGAGUAACGAUAAUGCGGGAGAGUAACCCGCACACCGCAAGACCAAGGUUUCCUGAUCAACGCUAAUCGGAUCAGGGUUAGUCGGGUCCUAAGGGUAAGCCGAACGGCGAUCUCGAUGGAUAAUCGGUUAAUAUUCCGAUACUAACAUAUACCUCGAUGGAGAGACGAAGGAACGUAAGUGCCGCCACCUGACGGAAUAGGUGGUUAAAGGGCGUAGGUAUAGGGGCAGAUUAAGAGUUAGUCCUUGCUGAAACCUGACAGUACAGAGAGCCUACGGGCAAUUUGAUAGUGCACCCAAGUCGACUUCCGAGAAAAUCUUCUAAGUUAUAGUAUAUGUUACCCGUACCGUAAACCGACACAGGUGGUCGAGGAGAGUAUCCUAAGGUGCUCGAGUGAAUCACGGUUAAGGAACUAGGCAAAUUAACCCCGUAACUUCGGGAAAAGGGGUCCCUAUGAAAGUAGGGCGCAGCGAAGAGGUCCAGGCGACUGUUUAUCAAAAACACAGGGCUCUGCAAAUUCGAAAGAAGACGUAUAGGGCCUGACACCUGCCCGGUGCUGGAAGGUUAAGAGGGGAUGUCAUCGCAAGAGAAGCAUUGAAUCGAAGCCCCAGUAAACGGCGGCCGUAACUAUAACGGUCCUAAGGUAGCGAAAUUCCUUGUCGGGUAAGUUCCGACCUGCACGAAUGGUGUAACGAUCUGGACACUGUCUCAACCGUGAGCUCGGUGAAAUUGUAGUCCCGGUGAUGAUGCCGGGUACCCGCAACGGGACGAAAAGACCCCGUGAACCUUUACUAUAGCUUAACGCUGAAUUUGGGUACACAAUGUGUAGGAUAGGCCGGAGGCUUUGAAGCGGGCACGCCAGUGUUCGUGGAGCCGACGUUGAAAUACGGCCCUUUGUGUAUUUGAGUUCUAACCCUGCGAAGGGGACACCGUUUGGUGGGUAGUUUGACUGGGGUGGUCGCCUCCAAAAGCGUAACGGAGGCUUCCCAAGGUACCCUCAGCACGAAUGGUAACCGUGCGCGGAGUGCAAUAGCAUAAGGGUGCUUGACUGUGAGACAUACAAGUCGACCAGGUACGAAAGUAGGGUAUAGUGAUCCGGUGGUUCUGCGUGGACUGGCCAUCGCUCAAAGGAUAAAAGGUACUCCGGGGAUAACAGGCUGAUCGCCGCCAAGAGCUCAUAUCGACGCGGCGGUUUGGCACCUCGAUGUCGGCUCGUCACAUCCUGGGGCUGGAGAAGGUCCCAAGGGUUCGGCUGUUCGCCGAUUAAAGUGGCACGCGAGCUGGGUUCAGAACGUCGUGAGACAGUUCGGUCUCUAUCUGUUGCGGGCGUAGGAAGAUUGAGGGGUCCUGACUUUAGUACGAGAGGACCGAGUUGGACGAACCUCCGGUGUAUCGGUUAUGCUGCCAAGUGUACUGCCGAGUAGCCGCGUUCGGUCUGGAUAAGCGCUGAAAGCAUCUAAGCGCGAAGCCAUCCCCAAGAUAAGUCUUCCCUUGAGGGGCGUAGGAGACUACUACGUUGAUAGGCUGCAGGUGUAAAGACAGCAAUGUCAAAGCCGAGCAGUACUAAUUACCCGAUAGGCUUUCUU
rnacentral:rRNA from 1 species